rnacentral:rRNA from 1 species
CACGGGGGGAGCAAGCGUUGUUCGGAAUCACUGGGCGUAAAGGGCGUGUAGGCGGUCAGGUAAGUGGGAUGUGAAAUGCCCCGGCUCACCCGGGGACCGGCAUCCCAAACUGCUUGGCUUGAGUAUGGGAGAGGAUGAGGGAAUUCCGUGGUGUAGCGGUGAAAUGCGUAGAUAUCAGGAGGAACACCUGCGGUGUAGACGGCUUACUGGACCAUAACUGACGCUGAGGCACGAAAGCGUGGGGAGCAAACAGG